rnacentral:rRNA from 1 species
GACGAACGCUGGCGGCGUGCUUAACACAUGCAAGUCGAGCGGAAAGGCUCCUUCGGGGGUACUCGAGCGGCGAACGGGUGAGUAACACGUGAGUAAUCUGCCCUUGGCUUCGGGAUAGCCACCGGAAACGGUGAUUAAUACCGGAUACGACACAUCACUGCAUGGUGCGUGUGUGGAAAGUUUUUUCGGCCAGGGAUGUGCUCGCGGCCUAUCAGCUUGUUGGUGGGGUAAUGGCCUACCAAGGCUUCGACGGGUAGCCGGCCUGAGAGGGUGACCGGCCACACUGGGACUGAGACACGGCCCAGACUCCUACGGGAGGCAGCAGUGGGGAAUAUUGGACAAUGGGCGGAAGCCUGAUCCAGCAACGCCGCGUGAGGGAUGACGGCCUUCGGGUUGUAAACCUCUUUCAGCACAGACGAAGCGCAAGUGACGGUAUGUGCAGAAGAAGGACCGGCCAACUACGUGCCAGCAGCCGCGGUAAUACGUAGGGUCCGAGCGUUGUCCGGAAUUAUUGGGCGUAAAGGGCUCGUAGGCGGUUUGUCGCGUCGGGAGUGAAAACACCGGGCUUAACUCGGUGCUUGCUUUCGAUACGGGCAGACUAGAGGCAUUCAGGGGAGAACGGAAUUCCUGGUGUAGCGGUGAAAUGCGCAGAUAUCAGGAGGAACACCGGUGGCGAAGGCGGUUCUCUGGGAAUGUCCUGACGCUGAGGAGCGAAAGUGUGGGAGCGAGCAGG